GAUGAACGCUGGCGGCGUGCCUAACACAUGCAAGUCGAACGGAGAUUACGGACGGAGGUUUUCGGAUGGAAGCCUGUAAUUCUUAGUGGCGGACGGGUGAGUAACGCGUGGGCAACCUGCCCUAUACAGGGGGAUAGCAGCUGGAAACGGCUGGUAAGACCGCAUAAGUCGGUUAAAUCGCAUGAUUUGAUCGGGAAAUGAGCAAUCAGGUAUAGGAUGGGCCCGCGUCCGAUUAGCCAGUUGGCAGGGUAAAAGCCUACCAAAGCGACGAUCGGUAGCCGGACUGAGAGGUCGGACGGCCACAUUGGGACUGAGACACGGCCCAAACUCCUACGGGAGGCAGCAGUGGGGGAUAUUGCACAAUGGAGGAAACUCUGAUGCAGCGACGCCGCGUGAGUGAAGAAGUAUUUCGGUAUGUAAAGCUCUAUCAGCAGGGAAGAUGAUGACGGUACCUGACUAAGAAGCCCCGGCUAACUACGUG
rnacentral:rRNA from 1 species